rnacentral:tRNA from 1 species
GGCGCAAUGGAAACGGAAAAUAUUUGGCAGACUGUAAAUCUGUUGCGAUUCGCUUCGGUGGUUCGAAUCCACCCUCCUCCA